rnacentral:rRNA from 1 species
AUGCCAGAUGAAGUUAGCAAUCUCGUUCAUCUGCAGAAAAUUAACAUGUCAAAUAACAGGUUGUCCGGCAACAUUACAUCAACCCUCAGCCAGUGUGUUGAUCUGGGGUAUCUUGAGAUGCAAAACAACUUAUUUGCAGGAAGGACUGCACAAACAUUGGCCAACUUAGUCAGCAUAAAACACAUGGAUAUUUCUGGGAAAAACUUGUCUGGAAAACUACCAGAGUUCCUCCAAUCCUUGAAAUCAAUGCAAGACCCGAGUUCAUCCUUCAACCAUUUCACUGGAGCAGUUAUGACAUCGCUGGUGCGGUGUCAAUCGAAGGAAAUGAUCAUCUGUGUACAAGCAUCCCAACGGGAUGUAUUUCUCUUUGUAUGA